CCUCUCGUGGCUUAGUGGUCAGAGUAUUGGUGCAUAAAACCAAUGAUUCUGGGUUCGAUUCCUGGCGAAGGUC
rnacentral:tRNA from 1 species